ACAGGGGGGGCAAGCGUUGUUCGGAAUUACUGGGCGUAAAGGGUUCGUAGGUGGCCAACUAAGUCAGACGUGAAAUCCCUCAGCUUAACUGGGGAACUGCGUCUGAUACUGGUUGGCUUGAGUGCAGGAGAGGAAUGCGGAAUUCCAGGUGUAGCGGUGAAAUGCGUAGAUAUCUGGAGGAACACCGGUGGCGAAGGCGGCAUUCUGGACUGUAACUGACACUGAGGAACGAAAGCCAGGGGAGCAAACGGGAUUAGAUACCCCGGUAGUCCUGGCCCUAAACGAUGAAUGCUUGGUGUGGCGGGUAUCGAUCCCUGCCGUGCCGAAGUUAACGCAUUAAGCAUUCCGCCUGGGGAGUACGGUCGCAAGGCUG
rnacentral:rRNA from 1 species